CCGUAACUAUAACGGUCCUAAGGUAGCGAAAUUCCUUGUCGGGUAAGUUCCGACCUGCACGAAUGGCGUAAUGAUGGCCAGGCUGUCUCCACCCGAGACUCAGUGAAAUUGAACUCGCUGUGAAGAUGCAGUGUACCCGCGGCAAGACGGAAAGACCCCGUGAACCUUUACUAUAGCUUGACACUGAACAUUGAGCCUUGAUGUGUAGGAUAGGUGGGAGGCUUUGAAGUGUGGACGCCAGUCUGCAUGGAGCCGACCUUGAAAUACCACCCUUUAAUGUUUGAUGUUCUAACGUUGGCCCCUGAUCGGGGUUGCGGACAGUGUCUGGUGGGUAGUUUGACUGGGGCGGUCUCCUCCUAAAGAGUAACGGAGGAGCACGAAGGUUGGCUAAUCCUGGUCGGACAUCAGGAGGUUAGUGCAAUGGCAUAAGCCAGCUUGACUGCGAGCGUGACGGCGCGAGCAGGUGCGAAAGCAGGUCAUAGUGAUCCGGUGGUUCUGAAUGGAAGGGCCAUCGCUCAACGGAUAAAAGGUACUCCGGGGAUAACAGGCUGAUACCGCCCAAGAGUUCAUAUCGACGGCGGUGUUUGGCACCUCGAUGUCGGCUCAUCACAUCCUGGGGCUGAAGUAGGUCCCAAGGGUAUGGCUGUUCGCCAUUUAAAGUGGUACGCGAGCUGGGUUUAGAACGUCGUGAGACAGUUCGGUCCCUAUCUGCCGUGGGCGCUGGAGAACUGAGGGGGGCUGCUCCUAGUACGAGAGGACCGGAGUGGACGCAUCACUGGUGUUCGGGUUGUCAUGCCAAUGGCACUGCCCGGUAGCUAAAUGCGGAAGAGAUAAGUGCUGAAAGCAUCUAAGCACGAAACUUGCC
rnacentral:rRNA from 1 species